UGUGUGGGAUAAAAUUUUUGAUUUUUACAUCAAGUGUGAAUUUGAUUGACGGCAAAAAAAAAGUUUUCUACUUAAUCUACCGGAAAUGAUUUGAGUGAAAGUGAAUGUGACAAUUUACGCUUGUGAAAAUUAAGUGUGAGCAUUUGCGUUUAUUUGAAGACUGUCUAUACUUAGAAAAAAAUCAAAAAAGGAAUUAUGGCUGAAAUAUUAAUUUCUAUAUCUGAACGAAUCGGUGGUACGGAGACUGUGUGAUUUCGAUGGUUUCCAGCACCAAAUUCCAUGCGCUUAAAUAUUUUUUUGACGGAUUUUUGACUCGGAAUCUCCCAACUGAACAAAUUGGUUGUAUGAGUGCUAUGUGUUAUAGUGCUUUGAUGCGGCUCAUUUUUUAGCACUAAUAUGUAAUUCCAUUAUCCGUGUAUGUGUGCAAAAUACCAAAUUUCAUGUUCUUAGCUACUUUUGAACAGAUUUUUGAACAAAAAUUGUAAAUCUGAACAAAUCUGUUUAGGAAACUAGAUGUGUUAUACUAAUCGUCCCAUUUUAUAGAUUUUCAGUGCCAAUAUUUAACAUCAUUAUAUAUGUAAAGAGUAUCAUACGCUUA